GACGAACGCUGGCGGCGUGCUUAACACAUGCAAGUCGAACGCUGAAGCACCAGCUUGCUGGUGUGGAUGAGUGGCGAACGGGUGAGUAAUACGUGAGUAACCUGCCCUUGACUCUGGGAUAAGCCCGGGAAACUGGGUCUAAUACUGGAUGCUACAUGUCACCGCAUGGUGGUGUGUGGAAAGGGUUUACUGGUCUUGGAUGGGCUCACGGCCUAUCAGCUUGUUGGUGAGGUAAUGGCUCACCAAGGCGAAGACGGGUAGCCGGCCUGAGAGGGUGACCGGCCACACUGGGACUGAGACACGGCCCAGACUCCGACGGGAGGCAGCAGUGGGGAAUAUUGCACAAUGGGCGAAAGCCUGAUGCAGCGACGCCGCGUGAGGGAUGACGGCCUUCGGGUUGUAAACCUCUUUCAGCAGGGAAGAAGCCACAAGUGACGGUACCUGCAGAAGAAGCGCCGGCUAACUACGUGCCAGCCGCCGCCGUAA
rnacentral:rRNA from 1 species